GACGAACGCUGGCGGCGUGCUUAACACAUGCAAGUCGAACGGAGUGGCGAACGGGUGAGUAACACGUGGGUGACCUGACCUGCACUUCGGGAUAAGCCUGGGAAACUGGGUCUAAUACCGGAUAGUGUGGGAUGGGCCCGCGGCCUAUCCGCUGGUUGGUGGGGUCAUGUCCUACCAAGGCGGCGACGGGUAGCCGGCCUGAGGGGGUGGACGGUCACAUUGGGACUGGUACACGGCCCAGACUCCUACGGGAGGCAGCAGUGGGGAAUAGUGCACGAUGGGCGGAAUCCUGAUGCAGCGCCGCCGCGUGGGGGAGGACGGCCUGCGUGUUGUAAACUCCUUUCACCAUCGACGCGGUAGAUGGAGAAGAAGCACCGGCUAACUACGUGCCAGCAGCCGCGGUAAUAC
rnacentral:rRNA from 1 species